rnacentral:rRNA from 1 species
UUGACGGAGAGUUUGAUCCUGGCUCAGGACGAACGCUGGCGGCGGGCCUAAUACAUGCAAGUCGAACGCAGUCGACCUUCGGGUCAUAUGACUGAGUGGCGAACGGGUGAGUAACACGUGAGAAACCUGCCCCGAAGACUGGAAUAACCCGAGGAAACUCGGGCUAAUACCGGAUGUCCCCAGAUGGCCGCAUGGCCGACUGAGGAAAUGCUCCGGCGCUUUGGGAGGGUCUCGCGGCCUAUCAGCUUGUUGGUGAGGUAACGGCUCACCAAGGCUUCGACGGGUAGCUGGUCUGAGAGGACGAUCAGCCACACUGGGACUGAGAUACGGCCCAGACUCCUACGGGAGGCAGCAGUAGGGAAUCUUGCGCAAUGGGCGAAAGCCUGACGCAGCCACGCCGCGUGAGUGAUGAAGGCCUUCGGGUCGUAAAGCUCUUUCAGCAGGGACGAAAAUGACGGUACCUGCAGAAGAAGCCCCGGCCAACUACGUGCCAGCAGCCGCGGUAACACGUAGGGGGCAAGCGUUGUCCGGAUUUAUUGGGCGUAAAGGGCUCGUAGGCUGUUCAGUAAGUCAGGUGUGAAAACUCGAGGCUCAACCUCGAGAUGCCACUUGAUACUGCUGUGACUAGAGUUCGGUAGAGGAGUGUGGAAUUCCUAGUGUAGCGGUGAAAUGCGCAGAUAUUAGGAGGAACACCAACAGCGAAGGCAGCACUCUGGGCCGAUACUGACGCUGAGGAGCGAAAGCGUGGGGAGCGAACAGGAUUAGAUACCCUGGUAGUCCACGCCGUAAACGGUGGGCACUAGAUGUGGGAUCCAGUCAACGGAUUCCGCGUCGUAGCUAACGCAUUAAGUGCCCCGCCUGGGGAGUACGGCCGCAAGGCUAAAACUCAAAGGAAUUGACGGGGGCCCGCACAAGCGGCGGAGCAUGUUGCUUAAUUCGAGGCAACGCGAAGAACCUUACCUGGGUUUGACAUGUAGGGAAAAGCCAUAGAGA